UAGACCUGUGGUCAGCCCCCAAGAAAACAGGAGGCAGUACAGAGCCCCACAGCGGGGCUCCUCCAGCUGCCCCCCCCGCGAGGUCCUGGGGGCCACACAGCAGGCGUGGAGAGCCCCGUGGCCAUCUAUGGAGGGGAGAACGAGACACAGACUGGCACAGAGGAACGACCACGUGAGAACACAGGGAGGAGCCAGCCCCGUCCACACCUGGGUCUCAGACACCGGCGUCCAGCACUGGGAGACCAUAAACGUUCGUGCUUGUGGGUGUUGAAAUUCUCCAGAGAGCUGAUGAAGGAAUGGAUGCCGGAUGGACACGCACACGCACACACACGCCAGUUACACCCACUUGCCGCCCGGCAUCACCCCGCUCGGAGAGCCACACCAGCACGCACCUCGCCCCACCCAUGUGCCCAUCUGGAGUCAGGACACGACACCUGGCAGGCCGCGGGGUUCCGAUGGCCCUAGCCCGCCUGCACGCUCCCUCACAGCGAGAUCCAGAUCAGAAGGGCCGCUCUAACCCGGGGGGGGGGCUGCCAAGACCACCUCCCGGAGGACGCCCGGAAGCAUCCGCAGGAAGGGAGGCAGAGGGUGUCCUGCUCACACAGCGUCAGGCUGGGCGUCGUGCCUGACGCUCGCUGGCGGCCUCCUUUGUGGCGACUGCCGAUGGUACGGCAGAGCUGCUCAGAGACCCCAAGUUUGGCGGGGCUGGGGGUUAACAAGCAGACACCGCCUUGGAGAACACAUUGGCAGGUCCUCGCACGAUUUCACACAGGAAUUCCGCUCUCAGGUACGUACGUACCCGGGAGCACUGAACAUGGGUCCAAACAAAGCUUACAUACGACUGCACGGCUGGGCUGCUCACAGCCCCCCAAAGGUGGAAAGAGCCCGAGAGCCCACCAAUGCUUUCACAGACACACCGUGGUCCAUCCACACAAUGGGACCGGCGGGGAGGGUCAGCCACCAAGGGGAACGAAGCCGGGACACGUGCUACAAUGUGGACCCAGCUGGUGGACGUGACACUGAGACGGAACCACGUGGUGAGGGAGUCCACCUCUAUGCAACGCCCAGAAGAGGCAAAUCC